UGUUAUUAAUGGGUUUGAAUGUUAGC
rnacentral:piRNA from 1 species